CUAAACGAUGCUAACUAGCUAUUCGCCGGCGUUAUUCCCAUGACGUGGCGAGACGCCCCCGGGAAACCUCAAGUCUUUGAGUUCCGGGGGUAGUAUGGUUGCAAAACUGAAACUUAAAGGAAUUGACGGAAGGGCACCACCAGGAGUGGAGCCUGCGGCUUAAUUUGACUCAACACGGGAAACCUCACCAGGCCCGGACACCUGAAGGAUUGACAGAUUAAGAGCUCUUUCUCGAUUUGGUGGGUGGUGGUGCAUGGCCGUUCUUAGUUGGUGGAGUGAUUUGUCUGGUUAAUUCCGGUAACGAACGAGACUCUGGCCUACUAACUAGUGGAUGGGUGUUCUGACAGUGGGGCCCCAUCCGAUAAUGUCUUCUUAGAGGGAUGAGCAGCGAGUAUAGCUGCAGGAGAUUGAGCAAUAA
rnacentral:rRNA from 1 species